UAACCAGUGCCUAUCGACGGUCCUCCUUAACCGGAGGCUAACAGGGAAUGCCGUGUCGCUCCUUCGGGGGCUAAUCGGCAGCUGUACCCGCAGCUGUAAGCGGCGAGCGACUGCCCCAGCGUCACUGGACCAACUUGGUCUGGGAAGACGGGCAGGAGCUGCGACCCGCGAGCCAGAAGACCUGCCGCCGAUAGCGUCGCUCU
rnacentral:ncRNA from 1 species